ACCACCAAUCACCCUGAUGUCUGCCUGAAUAUCCCUUAGCUACCCCGAGCACGUCCCGUGCUUCCCCCCUAACCAAGUUCGCUAUCACUGUCCACAUAGCGUCCGCUUCCCCAUCACUUCUCCAAGCUCCGCCCUCCACUAACCUCCUUUCCAACUCCUGUGAUUUCUCCUUAGACAAAGCUCCCCAUCUAAUCCACGGUUGACCCUGGGCGCCCCUCCGCUUCUUC
rnacentral:lncRNA from 1 species